rnacentral:rRNA from 1 species
ACGUUAGCGGGAGGCUAACACAUGCAAGUCGAACGAGGCUUGCUUGGUCUUCGGACUGAGUAAGCCUAGUGGCAAACGGGCGAGUAACACGUGCCUAACCUGCCCUGGAGAGGGGGAUAACUGGGGAAACCCAGCUAAUCCGCCAUACGCUCUAUAGGGUGAGAGUCCUUAUAGAGGAAAGGCGUAAGCCGCUCUAGGAGGGGGGCGCGGCGCAACAGCUAGUUGGUGAGGUAACGGCUCACCAAGGCUAUGACGCGUAGCCGGCCUGAGAGGGUGACCGGCCGCAAUGGGACUGAGACACGGCCCAUACUCCUACGGGAGGCAGCAGUGAGGAAUCUUGGACAAUGGGCGCAAGCCUGAUCCAGCCAUCCCGCGUGGAGGAAGAAGCCCUUUGGGGUGUAAACUCCUUUUCUGGGGGAAGACGACUGACGGUACCCCAGGAAUAAGGGGCGGCUAACUACGUGCCAGCAGCCGCGGUAAUACGUAGGCCCCAAACGUUAUCCGGAGUUACUGGGCGUAAAGGGUCCGUAGCCGGAUAAGUAAGUCUACCUUCAAAGACUGGAGCUCAACUCCAGUAAGGGGGUAGAUACUGCUUAUCUAGAGAUGUCAGGGGGUUAGUGGAAUUCCCGGUGGAGCGGUGGAAUGCGUUGAUAUCGGGAAGAACGCCGAAAGUGGAGACAGCUAACUACUGACAAUCUGACGGUGAGGGGACGAAAGCGUAGGUAGCAAACAGGAUUAGAUACCCUGGUAGUCUACGCUUGUAAACGAUGUGAGUUAGGCGUUGGGCCGCUAGGUCA